GGAGGAUUGGCCGAGUGGUAAGGCACCGGCUUGCUGAGCCGUGGUCGGGCUCCCGAAGCCCGCGCACGUUCGAUCCGUGCAUCCUCCG
rnacentral:tRNA from 1 species